GGUGAGUUCGGCAAGCUCGGAAUGCCGAGAGUUUGAAAAACUCUAUUUGAGUGCCCCUCAGAUUCAUGGGUUCGAAUCCAAUACUCACCG
rnacentral:tRNA from 1 species